GUCCAAGGCCACGGUGCAGGAGGAGCCCAACUCAGAAGAGGCAGCCCGCAGCACUUCAGCUGCCGCUGUUUUGGGACCCUGUUUUGACUCCAGUGCAUGGCACAAGGUUUGGGGCAUGGAAGGAAGUAAAGAUAUUCAGGAUGGAAAAGAGGAUUGCUUCUCUCCAUCCUCAUUCCAGCCCCAUGUCUUGUCCGUGGCCCCCUGAGCUUUCCAGAAUCCAAUAGAACUGUAUCCACAAAAGUUAAUGAGCAGUAUCAGGAUCACUUGAACCAACUUUUCCCUUUGCAUCUCGUAUCCUUAAAAUAAUGGGUCGACCAUA
rnacentral:lncRNA from 1 species